rnacentral:rRNA from 1 species
UACGUAGGGUGCGAGCGUUAAUCGGAAUUACUGGGCGUAAAGUGUGCGCAGGCGGCAGAGCAAGUCGAGUGUGAAAGCCCCGGGCUUAACUUGGGAAUUGCGCUCGAAACUACUUUGCUGGAGUGUGGCAGAGGAAGGUGGAAUUCCACGUGUAGCGGUGAAAUGCGUAGAUAAUCAGGAGGAACACCGAUGGAGCGGAAGGCCAGCUCACGUCGGG